CUUCAUUGCUUUUGUGAUAAGAUAAGAAUAGAAGAAAUGCUUUUGGUGAAGGUAGUGAUGUAGAACUGAGGUCAGAUUUUAGGAACUAAAUGUGUUAGGUAUUUAGUCUGUCAGAUGAGUGAGACUUUUGGAACUUCAAGACUAAAUCUGUGGCCUGGAAUCCAGAUUCAGUUCCAGGCAGUCAUCUCUAUCAGAAAAAAAAAUUCCAGAGCCUUCUCCUGUAACAAGGAGAAAGGCAUAUGAGAAAGCAGAAAAAUCAAAGGCCAAGGAACAAAAGCAGGGCAUAAUCAACCCAUUUCCUGCUUCAAAAGGAAUCAGAGCUUUUCCACUUCAGUGUAUUCACAUAGCUGAAGGGCAUACAAAAGCUGUGCUCUGUGUGGAUUCUACUGAUGAUCUCCUCUUCACUGGAUCAAAAGAUCGUACUUGUAAAGUAUGGAAUUUGGUGACUGUGCAGGAAAUAAUGUCA
rnacentral:lncRNA from 1 species